AACGAACGCUGGCGGCAUGCCUAACACAUGCAAGUCGAACGAUUGCCUUCGGGUGAUAGUGGCGCACGGGUGCGUAACGCGUGGGAAUCUGCCCUUAGGUUCGGAAUAACAGCUGGAAACGGCUGCUAAUACCGGAUGAUAUCGCGAGAUCAAAGAUUUAUCGCCUGAGGAUGAGCCCGCGUUGGAUUAGGUAGUUGGUGGGGUAAAGGCCUACCAAGCCGACGAUCCAUAGCUGGUCUGAGAGGAUGAUCAGCCACACUGGGACUGAGACACGGCCCAGACUCAUACGGGAGGCAGCAGUGGGGAAUAUUGGACAAUGGGCGCAAGCCUGAUCCAGCAAUGCCGCGUGAGUGAUGAAGGCCCUAGGGUUGUAAAGCUCUUUUACCCGGGAAGAUAAUGACUGUACCGGGAGAAUAAGCCCCAGCUAACUCCGUG
rnacentral:rRNA from 1 species